ACAGAGUAGUGUCUUCUAGCUAUAUUGCUUCGUAUUUAAUACUUUCAAGCAAUUAUUUUAGGGAAUAUGCACACUAGGAUAUUCUUGUUGUCAUUCUGUUCACCAUAAAUUGAAGAAAGAUUCUGAUAUAAUCGGUUUUUGCUAUUUUUUUUAUUUUUUUUUAAUUUUCUAUUGUACAGUUAGCCUGUUUACUUUGUUUAUUGUGAGCUAACCCUUCGCUAAGAGACUAUGGCUGAGGAUGAAAACCUGGACAUGCUGCCCUCCUUAUUUGAGAAGAAAGAGGGUCCGGAUCCAGAGAACUCCUCAGAAGAAAGUGAGCACAAUCAUACCAAAGAGGACCAGAAAGGGUCACGGGGAAACCUGGAGCCUAUCCCAGGGAACAUCGGGCACAAGGCAGGGUACACCCUGGACAGGGUGCCAAUGUAAAGAGACACUUUGCUGUUUAAUAUAUAUUAAAUAACAUUUUGCUGUUAUUUCCAUUGACAAGUGAACCAUAUUGUAACUAUACACUGAUCAGAGGUAACAUUAAAACCA